rnacentral:rRNA from 1 species
UACGUAGGGGGCAAGCGUUGUCCGGAUUCAUUGGGCGUAGAGAGCGUGUAGGCGGCCAGGUAGGUCGGUUGUGAAAACUGGAGGCUCAACCUUCAGAGGUCGACCGAAACCAUCUGGCUAGAGUCCGGGAGAGGAGAGUGGAAUUCCUGGUGUAGCGGUGAAAUGCGCAGAUAUCAGGAAGAACACCCGUGGCGAAAGCGGCUCUCUGGAACGGUACUGACGCUGAGACGCGAAAGCGUGGGGAGCGAACAGG